UUUGUUUGUGAGUUACUGCCACGUGUCACGCCCUGGUUGGCCCAAUUGGGCGAGAGAUUUCCGGUAAAAGCACUGGCUUUCUGUUCUCACGCAUGGCGAAAAAGAAGGGAGGGAAGGGAAAGAAGAAGCUGACUCCCGAAGAGAAGAAAUUAAAAGCACAGAAGCUGGCUCUCAAGGCUGAAGAAACGCGGAAGAAGAAGGAAGCUGAGCAACUAUUACGUUUGAAGCAGCUCCAGGAAAGAGAAGAGCGGUACACGAAGGAAAACUUGGUCGAAAUCCACGCUCAGUGGAGGAAGAUCCUUCGUGUUUCGAGGACAAAAGAGCUCCGGGAGGAAGUCACUCAGCUAGCUCGAGAACAUGACUAUCAGGUUGAAAGGAAGAACAAUGUCCUUGCAUCCCUAUUUCAAGAACUGGAAGAGUCCGAAGCACAGCAUCGUUCAUCUUUUAGCAAGCAUUUGCAAGUUCUCGAUGGCUUGAUAGAUCUACAUUACGUUCGAACAAAAGAUAUGGGUGACGACUUUGAAGAACGCCUGAAAAUCCUUGCUUCAGAUUUUAAUAACGAGAAAGCGGAGAUGAUGCGGGUUCAUGACAAACAAAAGCAAAUGUUAAAUGACAUGAUGGACACAAUGGAAGCGCAAGUUAAAGAGCACGAAGGGGAACUACGUCACGAGUACGAGGCUAGUCGGGAAGAAAUGCGGAACAAAAAUAUGGAAGAAUACAACGUUCUCAAAAUCUCACUGGAGAACGCCAUUGAGGAUUUAGAGAGACGUUUGGAGCACACGCACCAGGACUACUUGUCGAGUACAGAGACCAAGACACAGGCGUUUAAGAAGAUGAUUGACAAGGACAAGGUGACGGCAAGAUUGAUUGAACAAAGAAUGAGAAAGCUCAUGUAUAUACAUGACAACAUAUCCUACUGGCGAGCGAAGAUUGGAACCAACAGCCGAGAGUGGGAUGGAAUCAACAAGGCUCUUCGAGAUCAGAAGGAUUACGUAAACGGGCACUAUCAGGGCCUCAAGAAGAAGCUGUUGAGAUUCAGGAAUUGCGAACACGAGAGGUUAAAAGACAUAUCAAAAACCAGUGAAGACAUAAGCAUAGAGCUGACGUCGCUGCUCAAACUUUCGCAGCGGAUCAUGAGAUUUGGAGACGUGAACAGCAAGGUAAGAAGCUGGAAACCGAGCAGGAGAAAAUCUUUCCAUUCGAUCCGUUGCUGGGACCGCCAGAAGUGGAUGAAACGGCCGCCGUUCUACCUGAUAGCAGCAGCGUCGAGGCAACAAAGAAGAAAAGCGUCACUAUUGCAGACAAGCCACGGGUUUUGAAGUUCCACGAUACACAGAAGAAAGCAGCCGAAACUUACCGGGUGGCCGCGUAUGCAACUGAUAGCUCCGGGGUCGAAGUCGAGGAGUGGAACUACCUCUCUCGGUUUCAAAAGCGAUACAACAAGGUUCUCCUGGAUAAAAUGACACUAGACUUGGAAAAGAAGCGGGUCUUGGCUGAGAACAUGAGGCUCCAAACUGCACUGCAGCAAUACUUGGAUGGUAUCACUGUGAAUGAGAAUGCUCUCAAAGGUCCAAUGAACACACUCAUGAUGGUCACUCCAUUUGGCAGAGCGCAAGCAUAAACCAGCGUGGUAUGGUUUUAUUUUGAUCAAACCAAAGCAAGCAAACUUUGCAAAGAUGCUAUUGAUUCUUGCCGUAGAAACUCAAUGGGAACACGAGCAUCCCAUUUCUCCGCCUUGUGCAGCAACGAAGCUCCUUGUCCAGACAUCUUUAGGAUCUAAAGCUGUGUCGUGGUGAUGAGGAGAAUGGCGGGGGUGCUUCUCUCUCUUGUCACCGCGAACCUGCCUCAACGCAUGCGGCAGCGCCGGCAGCAAUGCUUGCAUGCAUUCCGCCACUGCGUUGGGAUUUCCAGGCAUGUUUAUUAUCUGUGACAAUCAUAGAAUAAAAAAUAGCGAGCUUCUUUAGUCCA